CCCUUAGAUGUUCUGGGCCGCACGCGUGCUACACUGAGUGGAUCAGCGGGUCAGGUUGCGCGAAAGUGUUUCCUAAUCUUGAAAUCCGCUCGUGAUGGGGAUUGACGGUUGCAAUUUUCCGUCAUGAACGAGGAAUACCUUGUAAGCGCGGGUCAUCAUCCCGCGCUGAAUACGUCCCUGCCCUUUGUACACACCGCCCGUCGCUCCUACCGAUUGAGUGGUCCGGUGAGGCUUUGGGAUCUGAGCGGAAAGAGCGUUUCGCUGUUUCUGCUCGGAAAACUCAGUCGAACCUUCUCAUUUAGAGGAAGGAGAAGUCGUAACA
rnacentral:rRNA from 1 species